CCUCUGCUCUUCUGCAUCUUAGGUUGUGAUCUGCUUCCUGGGUUCACAUGGUUCAUCUGUGCUUAAGCAAGCACUAGCCACUAGGUUUUCUUUCUUCUGGACCUGAUCCUAUGCUCAGUGAAGGUGAUGAAAAUAUUUCCAUUUUGUUCAACCUUGUGGAAGCUCCUGAAGGAGAUUAAAGAUG
rnacentral:lncRNA from 1 species